UACGUAGGGGGGCAAGCGUUGUCCGGAUUCAUUGGGCGUAAAGGGUGCGUAGGUGGCGCCGUAAGUCGGGUGUGAAAUUUCGGAGCUUAACUCCGAAACUGCAUUCGAUACUGCGGUGCUUGAGGACUGGAGAGGAGACUGGAAUUCAUGGUGUAGCAGUGAAAUGCGUAGAGAUCAUGAGGAAGACCAGUGGCGAAGGCGGGUCUCUGGACAGUUCCUGACACUGAGACACGAAGGCCAGGGGAGCAAACGGG
rnacentral:rRNA from 1 species